GACUUGUAAUCAGUAGGUUGUGGGUUCAAGUCCUAUUUUCGGCA
rnacentral:tRNA from 1 species